UGAGGAAUAUUGGACAAUGGAGGCAACUCUGAUCCAGCCAUGCCGCGUGAAGGACUAAGGCCCUAUGGGCUGUAAACUUCUUUAGACGCAGAGCAAUAAGGGCCACGCGUGGUCCGAUGAGAGUAUGCGUAGAAUAAGCAUCGGCUAACUCCGUGCCAGCAGCCGCGGUAAUACGGGGGAUGCGAGCGUUAUCCGGAUUCAUUGGGUUUAAAGGGUGCGUAGGCGGCUUUGCAAGUCAGCGGUGAAAGGCCCGGGCUCAACCCGGAAAGUGCCGUUGAUACUGUGAGGCUGGAAUGCGGAUGCUGUGGGAGGAAUGAGUGGUGUAGCGGUGAAAUGCAUAGAUAUCACUCAGAACACCGAUUGCGAAGGCAUCUCACAAAUCCGCAAUUGACGCUGAGGCACGAAAGCGUGGGGAUCGAACAGG
rnacentral:rRNA from 1 species